UAGAGUUUGAUCAUGGCUCAGGAUGAACGCUGGCGGCGUGCUUAACACAUGCAAGUCGAACGAACCUUCGGGUUAGUGGCGGACGGGUGAGUAACGCGUGAGAAUCUGCCCUCAGGAGGGGGAUAACAGUUGGAAACGACUGCUAAUACCCCAUAUGCCGAGAGGUGAAACGAAUUUCGCCUGGGGAUGAGCUCGCGUCUGAUUAGCUUGUUGGUGGGGUAAUGGCUUACCAAGGCUUCGAUCAGUAGCUGGUCUGAGAGGACGAUCAGCCACACUGGGACUGAGACACGGCCCAGACUCCUACGGGAGGCAGCAGUGGGGAAUUUUCCGCAAUGGGCGCAAGCCUGACGGAGCAACGCCGCGUGAGGGAUGGAGGCCUUUGGGCUGUAAACCUCUUUUCUCAAGGAAGAAGAUCUGACGGUACUUGAGGAAUAAGCCACGGCUAAUUCCGUGCCAGCAGCCGCGGUAAUACGGGAGUGGCAAGCGUUAUCCGGAAUUAUUGGGCGUAAAGCGUCCGCAGGCGGCCGUUUAAGUCUGUUGUUAAAUCGUGGAGCUCAACUCCAUCACGGCAAUGGAAACUGUUCGGCUUGAGUAUGGUAGGGGCAGAGGGAAUUUCCGGUGUAGCGGUGAAAUGCGUAGAUAUCGGGAAGAACACCAGUGGCAAAAGCGCUCUGCUGGGCCAUUACUGACGCUCAUGGACGAAAGCCAGGGGAGCGAAAGGGAUUAGAUACCCCUGUAGUCCUGGCCGUAAACGAUGAACACUAGAUGUUGGGGGAAUCGACCCCCUCGGUGUCGUAGCUAACGCGUUAAGUGUUCCGCCUGGGGAGUACGCACGCAAGUGUGAAACUCAAAGGAAUUGACGGGGGCCCGCACAAGCGGUGGAGUAUGUGGUUUAAUUCGAUGCAACGCGAAGAACCUUACCAAGGCUUGACAUCCUGCGAAUCUCCAAGAAAUUGGAGAGUGCCUUUUGGAACGCAGUGACAGGUGGUGCAUGGCUGUCGUCAGCUCGUGUCGUGAGAUGUAGGGUUAAGUCCCGCAACGAGCGCAACCCACGUUUUUAGUUGCCAGCAUUUAGUUGGGCACUCUAAGGAGACUGCCGGUGACAAACCGGAGGAAGGUGUGGACGACGUCAAGUCAUCAUGCCCCUUACGCCUUGGGCUACACACGUACUACAAUGCUGCGGACAAAGAGUAGCGAUCUUGCGAAAGUUAGCUAAUCUCGUAAACCGUGGCUCAGUUCAGAUCGUAGGCUGCAACUCGCCUACGUGAAGGAGGAAUCGCUAGUAAUCGCAGGUCAGCAUACUGCGGUGAAUACGUUCCCGGGCCUUGUACACACCGCCCG
rnacentral:rRNA from 1 species